rnacentral:lncRNA from 1 species
AGUUGAUAUAUUGUUUGUCUUCAACAGGUUUUCAUCACUACAGCUAUAUUCUACAAGCAGAGCAUGGUCUCAAUGAAAAUAUAAGAAAGAAGAUAUAAAGCUAGCUGCAUCCCAUGCUGAAUGUAAUUACACUCUGUGUCCAGGUUUUGGCAGUCUCUCUUCAAGAAUGUGCAGGAGACAAGAAAAAAAAAUCAGAUGCUGAGAAAACAUUGCCUCUAUAUAAAAACUGUGUGACUGUAGGACUGUAAGAAGAGGAGGAGGUCAAGGAGUGGGAAUGGGGAAGAUAUAGCAGUUUUCAGAGUUGGAGCCAAAGGUUACAGCCAGGUGCAAAAUGACUGACCACUUUUAGUGAUGGAAUUAAAUCUGCUGGUACAUCAUGUAUGUCUGUACCAUCAUGAUGGGACUAGAACCAAAUAUUCCUGCUACCUACUGACUAGCUGAAAUUCUGCCCGUGGAAUGGAUCAACUCAUCUGUUUCUCAAGGCAAAGUAACUCAGACAUGGGUAAUAGCUCACAGUAUAGACGUGCCUAUAAAGGCAAUAAAUUUGAGUAUGACCUUGAGUACA